rnacentral:rRNA from 2 species
AACGCGUGGCGGUCUAUAAUGCAGUCGAGCGACUGAUUAGAAGCUUGCUUCUAUGACGUUAGCGGCGGACGGGUGAGUAACACGUGGGCAACCUGCCUGUAAGACUGGGAUAACUCCGGGAAACCGGAGCUAAUACCGGAUAACAUUUUCUCUUGCAUAAGAGAAAAUUGAAAGAUGGUUUCGGCUAUCACUUACAGAUGGGCCCGCGGUGCAUUAGCUAGUUGGUGAGGUAACGGCUCACCAAGGCAACGAUGCAUAGCCGACCUGAGAGGGUGAUCGGCCACACUGGGACUGAGACACGGCCCAGACUCCUACGGGAGGCAGCAGUAGGGAAUCUUCCGCAAUGGACGAAAGUCUGACGGAGCAACGCCGCGUGAGUGAUGAAGGC